rnacentral:rRNA from 1 species
AUGCACGCUGGCGGCGUGCCUCAUCCCUGCAAGUCGCGCGAACAGACGAGGAGCUUGCUCCUCUGACGUUAGCGGCGGACGGGUGAGUAACACGUGGAUAACCUACCUAUAAGACUGGGAUAACUUCGGGAAACCGGAGCUAAUACCGGAUAAUAUAUUGAACCGCAUGGUUCAAUAGUGAAAGACGGUUUUGCUGUCACUUAUAGAUGGAUCCGCGCCGCAUUAGCUAGUUGGUAAGGUAACGGCUUACCAAGGCGACGAUGCGUAGCCGACCUGAGAGGGUGAUCGGCCACACUGGAACUGAGACACGGUCCAGACUCCUACGGGAGGCAGCAGUAGGGGAUCUUCCGCAAUGGGCGAAAGCCUGACGGAGCAACGCCGCGUGAGUGAUGAAGGUCUUCGGAUCGUAAAACUCUGUUAUUAGGGAAGAACAAAUGUGUAAGUAACUAUGCACGUCUUGACGGUACCUAAUCAGAAAGCCACGGCUAACUACGUG